rnacentral:rRNA from 1 species
GCCAGACUCCUACGGGAGGCAGCAGUGAGGAAUAUUGGUCAAUGGGCGAGAGCCUGAACCAGCCAAGUCGCGUGAGGGAGUACUGCCCUAUGGGUUGUAAACCUCUUUUGUCGGGGAGCAAAAGCCGGACGUGUCCGGCUGUGAGAGUACCCGAAGAAAAAGCAUCGGCUAACUCCGUGCCAGCAGCCGCGGUAAUACGGAGGAUGCGAGCGUUAUCCGGAUUUAUUGGGUUUAAAGGGUGCGUAGGCGGAUUUUUAAGUCAGCGGUAAAAUGUCCGGGCUCAACCCGGGCCGGCCGUUGAAACUGGGGAUCUUGAGUGGGCGAGAAGUAUGCGGAAUGCGUGGUGUAGCGGUGAAAUGCAUAGAUAUCACGCAGAACUCCGAUUGCGAAGGCAGCAUACCGGCGCGCAACUGACGCUCAUGCACGAAAGCGUGGGUAUCGAACAGGAUUAGAUACCCGCGUA